UCGAGAGUUGCUUGCAAUAUGGUGCAUCAAAUAAAUGCGGGAGACGUUCAAACUUUAACUUGUCUCCGUUUCUUAUUUUAUUAUAUACAAGUGUUUAGGCGAACCCUAUACGAACGCUCGGUUACAUUUCCUAUAUCAAAACAAAGUUCUCAUCCCGGAGGAUUCAAAACAGCAGAAAAAAAGAGGAUGUCUCCGUUUUGAAUCCUGACUCCACCUCAAAGCUCGAAGAGAACUGGGUGCCUGUGUUUAAGGACACGAUCCUGCACUUUGGCAACAGAGAGCAGUGGCUCUUCAUCUGCUUUUCAAUGUGGAAACUAUGACCGCAGACAGACAAGUUGACAUCGCCUUUCUGGUCCAUAUUGUGCUCUCAACAUUGAUACACUACCGGUCAAAAGUUUUGAUCUUAAAAAUCAUUUGAUCCGAAAGAGUAUGCUUAAGUGUUUGAAAUUAGUUUUGUAGACAAAAAUAUAAUUGUUCCACCAUAUUAAUUUAUUUCAUAAAAAAAGUUUUUGACAUUGAUGACUUGGACCAAAUAAUAAAGAAAAGCAGCCAAUAAGUGCCCAACAUAGAUGGGAACUACUCCAAUACUGUUUAAAAAGCAUCCCAGGGUGAUACCUCAAGAAGUUGGUUGAGAAAAUGUCAAGAGUACAUGUCUGCAGAUUCUAGGCAAAGGGUGACUACUUUGAAGAUGCUAAAAUAUAACAAAGUUUUGAUUUAUUUUGGAUUUUGUUUAGUCACAGCAUAAUUUCCAUUUCUAUUAUUCCAUAGUUGCGAUGACUUUACUAUUAUUCUAAAAUGUGUGUGUGUGUGGGGGGGGUGGAAAUUAUAAUAAGUGUUUCAAAACCUUUGACCAGUAGUGUACAUGAUUGGAAGGAAUAUGUUUGGACCAAGCUUCACAGGAACCAAGAAAGCCUUCAUUGACAUGCAGCCUGUUGGUACCAGUGGCUGAUUUCCUGCACCGUGCAAAAGAUGCCAUUUUUCCAUACACACCGAUGCUUGGAGAAAACAGUCAGUGCUUUCGAGCAUUUGUUGUCAUUCACUGUGAAGCACUUCAACAAAAUGCAUUGCGGGGCACAGUGGACAUUUGCUUCAAAGCGUUCUACGUCUUAAAUAUUAAUUACCCCAAACUGCAAAUUUAAAUUAAUUUCUACUGACUGGAAACAUGUUUACCAAAACAGAAAAUACAUUUCUACCUUUUAAAUUGUUAUUGUAGUCUGCCUGCCUCUCUCUCACUGUGUGGUUGUGGUAAAGUGAUUUUGAUGACCAAGAAUUCUGAAAAUUUUUAACCCAAUUUGCGUAUAUUUUAACCCAGCAUACUGCAAUGACUUAAAUAAGUAGAUAACAAUUUUUGCAAAUUUCGCUUUAGUUUGCAAAAUACAUUUGUCUUUGCUGCUGUCAUUUUUUGUUUUAACAUUUUUGUGAUGUUGCUGCAACAAUGUAAACUUCACAGGUACUAUUUUCUAAACUUUUAAUAUUUAACAUUAAGACCAAAUGUAACUAGUUCAUGGUGAAUUAAUAGGUACUGAUACCAAACCUGUUUCUUUGUACUCCCAUUUGUGUUUUAGUCUCCUAGUAGGUGUUUUUGUUUUUCUGUUUUGCUGUUGAAAUGUUUAAUGAAUUUGUAACAUUGUAAUAUGAAUAAAUAUUUAGAAUUUCUUUUGAAACACUUGAGUACACUUUAUAAUAAAUAGGCUAUAUUAGGAAACUUGGAAUAUAAAUUAAAUGCAUUUGAAAAUCAAGUGUAACCAACUUAAAAACAUGUGU